CUUUAAGUGAUCCUCACUGCUCUUCCCCACUGUAUGUCAUUGUGACAUCAUACAAUGUCAUGAUAAAGAGUUUAGCAACUGCUCAUUUUUUUUUUCUUUUUUUUGUACCGGGGUCAAACUCAGGACCUUGUACUUUCCAGGCAAGAGCAGCACCACUGUCAGCACACAAUGUUAUCACUAUUGUUUUGCAAUUUUCUCAGCAACAGUGUCAGCUCCAACACAGUAGUGUUCGAGAACAUGGCUUUGGAGUCAGAUGGACUUGGGUCCAAAUCCUGACAUUACAGCUUCCAGGUGUGAGUUGGGAAAAGCUGCUAACCUCCCCUAGCUGUAACAUUAUUCUCAUCUAAUGGGUCAGGAAGCAAAGAUCAAGAAAGACCAAUUGGCAAACAUGAGUCCUGUGUUGUCAUCUAUAAAAAAAGAUUCACCUUGCAUGAUUCUUAUAAGGAAUGAGAAGAUAAGCAGGCCCAGCCAAUCACUUCCAUCUCCAAAACGACUUUUCCCCCUGAAGAAACGGCAAGCAGUAACUCAGAAACCACUGCCAUCGAUCAGCAGCUCACCAUGUGCUAUGCCAAGCAUCACUUCACACAGUGUUUACACGCAAUCCUCAGAACAUCUGCUAGGUAGCUACUGUCUGUCCAGUUUUACAGUUGAAGGUAAGUUGUUUCUUCAUUACACAGCAAGCGACUGGUUGGU
rnacentral:lncRNA from 1 species